CAUGUACUUCCUCUGUUCAGAAUUUACUUGUUGCAGAAAUGGAUGCAUCUAGACAUAUUUUAGUUCUAGAUAUAUUCAUUUCUGUGACAAGUAAUUCAGAACGGAGGGAGUAGUAG
rnacentral:pre_miRNA from 1 species